rnacentral:rRNA from 1 species
GACGAACGCUGGCGGCGUGCUUAACACAUGCAAGUCGAACGGAAAGGCCUGCUUUCCCUUGUGGAUUGCGGGUACUCGCGUGGCGAACGGGUGAGUAACACGUGAGUGAUCUGCCCCCAACUUGGGUAUAAGCCUGGGAAACUGGGUCUAAUUCCCGAUAGGACUGCAGGGUGGUGCCUGUGGUGGAAAACGAUUUUCUAGUGGUUGGGGAUGAGCUCGCGGCCUAUCAGCUUGUUGGUGGGGUAAUGGCCUACCAAGGCGGCGACGGGUAGCCGGCCUGGGAGAGUGGACGGCCACAUUGGGACUGAGAUACGGCCCAGAAGCCUACGGGAGGCAGCAGUGGGGAAUAUGACGCGAUGGGCGGAAGCCUGAGGCAGGGACGCCGCGUGGGGGAUGACGGCCUUCGGGUUGUGAACUCCUUGCGACCGAGAGGAAGCCACCUGGUUGGAGGGGUAGUGACGGUAGUGGUAGAAGAAGCACCGGCUAACUACGUG